GUGUCAGCAGCCGCGGUAAUACAGAGGUCCCAAGCGUUGUUCGGAUUCACUGGGCGUAAAGGGUGCGUAGGCGGUCGGGUAAGUCUGAUGUGAAAUCUCCAAGCUUAACUUGGAAAUGGCAUCGGAUACUAUCCGGCUGGAGGAAUGGAGGGGAGACUGGAAUUCUCGGUGUAGCAGUGAAAUGCGUAGAUAUCGAGAGGAACACCAGUGGCGAAGGCGAGUCUCUGGACAUUUCCUGACGCUGAGGCACGAAAGCCAGGGGAGCAAACGGGAUUAGAUACCCGCGUAGUCC
rnacentral:rRNA from 1 species